UGGGGAAUUUUGGACAAUGGGCGAAAGCCUGAUCCAGCAAUGCCGCGUGUGUGAAGAAGGCCUUCGGGUUGUAAAGCACUUUUGUCCGGAAAGAAAUCCUUGGCUCUAAUACAGUCGGGGGAUGACGGUACCGGAAGAAUAAGCACCGGCUAACUACGUGCCAGCAGCCGCGGUAAUACGUAGGGUGCAAGCGUUAAUCGGAAUUACUGGGCGUAAAGCGUGCGCAGGCGGUUUGCUAAGACCGAUGUGAAAUCCCCGGGCUCAACCUGGGAACUGCAUUGGUGACUGGCAGGCUAGAGUAUGGCAGAGGGGGGUAGAAUUCCACGUGUAGCAGUGAAAUGCGUAGAGAUGUGGAGGAAAUACCGAUGGCGAAGGCAGCCCCCCUGGGCCAAAUACUGACGCUCAUGCACGAAAAGCGUGGGGGAGCAAAACAGGAUUAGAUACCCUGGGUAGUCCACGCCCCUAAAACGAUGUCAACUAGUUGUUGGGGGAUUCAUUUCCCUAGUAACGUAGCUAACGCGUGAAGUUGACCGCCUGGGGAGUACGGUCGCAAGAUUAAAACUCAAAUGAAUUGACGGGGUCAUAGGCUGUUUCC
rnacentral:rRNA from 1 species